rnacentral:rRNA from 1 species
AGCGAACGCUGGCGGCAGGCCUAACACAUGCAAGUCGAACGAAGCCUUCGGGCUUAGUGGCGGACGGGUGAGUAACACGUGGGAACGUACCUUUUGGUUCGGAAUAACGCAAAGAAAUUUGCGCUAAUACCGAAUGAGCCCUUCGGGGGAAAGAUUUAUCGCCGAAAGAUCGGCCCGCGUUGGAUUAGGUAGUUGGUGUGGUAAAGGCGCACCAAGCCUACGAUCCAUAGCUGGUCUGAGAGGAUGAUCAGCCACACUGGGACUGAGACACGGCCCAGACUCCUACGGGAGGCAGCAGUGGGGAAUCUUGCGCAAUGGGCGAAAGCCUGACGCAGCCAUGCCGCGUGAAUGAUGAAGGUCUUAGGAUUGUAAAAUUCUUUUACCAGGGACGAUAAUGACGGUACCUGGAGAAAAAGCCCCGGUUAACUUCGUGCCAGCCGCCGCCGUAAUAC